UGGCGGCAGGCCUAACACAUGCUAAGUCGAGCGGUAACAUUUCUAGCUUGCUAGAAGAUGACGAGCGGCGGACGGGUGAGCAACGCGUAGAAAUCUACCUAGUAGUGGGGGAUAGCCCAGAGAAAUUUGGAUUAAUACCGCAUACGCCCUACGGGGGAAAGCGGGGGAUCUUCGGACCUCGUGCUAUUAGAUGAGUCUGCGUCGGAUUAGCUUGUUGGUGAGGUAAUGGCUCACCAAGGCGACGAUCCGUAGCUGGUCUGAGAGGAUGACCAGCCACACUGGAACUGAGACACGGUCCAGACUCCUACGGGAGGCAGCAGUGGGGAAUAUUGCACAAUGGGCGCAAGCCUGAUGCAGCCAUGCCGCGUGUGUGAAGAAGGCCUUAGGGUUGUAAAGCACUUUCAGCAGUGAGGAAAGGGGUGUCGUUAAUAGCGCCAUCCUGUGACGUUAACUGCAGAAGAAGGACCGGCUAACUCCGUG
rnacentral:rRNA from 1 species